rnacentral:rRNA from 1 species
AUGGUGAGGGAGCAUUUCAUCGCUCCAGAAGCAGAGGCCAUCCUCAAUAUCCCCCUGAGGAUUGGUGGUGGACCUGACUCGGUUGCAUGGAACGCUGAAAAGUCUAGUAACUACACUGUUAAAUCCGCGUACCGCUCUCUAAUGACUCAGAAUGAGCAUGUUGCUCUUCAGGAAGGGACGGCUACAGAAUCUUCAGAGAAACAGAAGCAGUUGUGGACUAGACUCUGGAAGCUGAAAGUUGUGCCAAGGGUGCGAGUGUUU